rnacentral:rRNA from 1 species
UACGUAGGUGGCGAGCGUUGUCCGGAUUUACUGGGCGUAAAGAGCGCGCAGGCGGUCGUACAAGUCGCGUGUGAAAGCCCCUGGCUCAACUGGGGAGGGUCACGCGAUACUGUUCGACUCGAAGGCAGGAGAGGGAAGUGGAAUUCCCGGUGUAGUGGUGAAAUGCGUAGAUAUCGGGAGGAACACCUGCGGCGAAGGCGGGUUGCUGGGCUGACACUGACGCUGAUGCGCGAAAGCCAGGGGAGCGAACGGG